rnacentral:SRP_RNA from 1 species
GCUGGGUGUGGUGGCGUGUGCCUGUAGCCCCAGCGACUCGGGAGGCUGAGCCUGCCAGAUCGCUUGAGCCCAGGAGUUCUGGGCUGCAGUGCGCUAUGCCGAGCGGGCAUUCGUGCUAAGACUGGCAUCAAUACGGUGACUCCCGGGGAGCAGCAGGACACCAGAUUGUGUAAGGAGAGGUGAGCCGUCCCAGGUCAGAGAUGGAGCAGGUCAAAGCUCCCAUGCUGCUCAGUUUUUUUUUCUUUUUUUUAGACUGUCCUGGUUUUGGCCAGGAUGGAGUUGACUUUC